CAUGCAAGUCGAGGGGCAGCGCAGGUAGCAAUAUCGGGCGGCGACCGGCGGACGGGUGCGUAACACGUAUGCAACUUACCCCAUACUGGGAAAUAGCCCGGAGAAAUCCGGAUUAAUGUCCCAUAACAUCAGGAAAGGCAUCUUUCUUGGUUAAAAGUUCCGACGGUAUGGGAUGGGCAUGCGCCCCAUUAGCUUGUUGGUGAGGUAAAGGCUCACCAAGGCAACGAUGGGUAGGGGGCCUGAGAGGGUGAUCCCCCACACUGGAACUGAGACACGGUCCAGACUCCUACGGGAGGCAGCAGUAAGGAAUAUUGGUCAAUGGAGGCAACUCUGAACCAGCCAUGCCGCGUGCAGGAAGACGGCCCUACGGGUUGUAAACUGCUUUUAUAUGGGAAGAAACCUUUGGACGUGUCCGAAGCUGACGGUACCAUAUGAAUAAGGGUCGGCUAACUCCGUGCCAGCAGCCGCGGUAAUACGGAGGACCCGAGCGUUAUCCGGAUUCAUUGGGUUUAAAGGGUGCGCAGGCGGAGGAGUAAGUCAGGGGUGAAAGCCGGCAGCUUAACUGUCGAAUUGCCUUUGAUACUGCUUUUCUUGAGUAUGGUUGAUGUGGGCGGAAUGUGGCAUGUAGCGGUGAAAUGCUUAGAUAUGCCACAGAACACCGAUUGCGAAGGCAGCUCACAAAGCCAUUACUGACGCUCAUGCACGAAAGCAUGGGGAGCAAACAGGAUUA
rnacentral:rRNA from 1 species